GACGAACGCUGGCGGCGUGCUUAACACAUGCAAGUCGAGCGGAAAGGCCCACUUGUGGGUACUCGAGCGGCGAACGGGUGAGUAACACGUGAGUAAUCUGCCCUUCACUCUGGGAUAACGUUCAGAAAUGGGUGCUAAUACCGGAUGUGCACAUGGUCUCGCAUGGGGUUGUGUGGAAAGAUUUUUUGGUGGGGGAUGUGCUCGCGGCCUAUCAGCUUGACGGUGGGGUAAUGGCCUACCGUGGCUUUGACGGGUAGCCGGCCUGAGAGGGUGACCGGCCACACUGGGACUGAGACACGGCCCAGACUCCUACGGGAGGCAGCAGUGGGGAAUAUUGGACAAUGGGCGGAAGCCUGAUCCAGCAACGCCGCGUGAGGGAUGACGGCCUUCGGGUUGUAAACCUCUUUCACCAUUGACGAAGCUGCAUCUUUUUGGGUGUGGUGACGGUAGGUGGGGAAGAAGCACCGGCCAACUACGUGCCAGCCGCCGCCGUAAUAC
rnacentral:rRNA from 1 species